GAGAAGGACGCGGGGUGCCACGCAGGUGGCUGAGAACAGACCCGUCGAACCUGAUCUAGUUCGGACUAGCGAAGGGACGUCUCUUCAAUGAGCA
rnacentral:ncRNA from 2 species